rnacentral:rRNA from 1 species
UUCUGGUUGAUCCUGCCGGAGGCGACCGCUAUUGGAGUUCGAUUAAGCCAUGCGAGUCUAGAGGCAUAGCCUCGGCGUACCGCUCAGUAACACGUGGAUAACCUGCCCUGUUCAGGGGGAUAACCUCGCGAAAGUGAGAAUAAUACCCCAUAGUUCACCAUGCCUGGAACGGUUGGUGGAUAAAAGCUCAGGCGGAACAGGAUGGGUCUGCGGCGUAUCAGGUUGUAGGGGGUGUAAUGGACCUCCUAGCCAUCGACGCGUACGGGUUGUGGGAGCAAUCGCCCGGAGAUGGAUUCUGAGACACGAAUCCAGACCCCACGGGGUGCAGCAGGCGCGAAAACUUGACAAUGCGAGAAAUCGUGAUCAGGGAACUCCAAGUGGCCCACUUUUUAGUGGUGUCUGAACCGACUCUAAACAGGUCGGGUAAUAGGGGCGGGAAAUAUCGGUGCCAGCCGCCGCGGUAAUACCGAAGCCCCAAGUGGUCGUCGAUCUUAUUGGGCCUAAAACGUCCGUAGCCGGUUUGGUACAUUCGUGGGUAAAUCAGACAGCUUAACUGUUUGAAUUCUGCGAGGACGGCCAAACUUGAGACCGGGAGAGGUGUAGGGUACCUGCGGGGUAGGGGUAAAAUCCUGUCAUCCC